UCGGAUUGAACGCUGGCGGCAGACCUAACACAUGCAAGUCGAGCGGCAGCGGGAAAGUAGCUUGCUACUUUUGCCGGCGAGCGGCGGACGGGUGAGUAGUGCCUGGGGAUCAGCCCAGUCGAGGGGGAUAACAGUUGGAGACUACUGCUAAUACCGCAUACGCCCUACGGAGGAAAGGAGGGGACCUUCGGGCCUUUCGCGAUUAGCU
rnacentral:rRNA from 1 species